ensembl:lncRNA
GGGUGUGUGUCAUAUGUCUGGGUUGAUAUAUUGGCUCUCUCACGUGAUGUUGGGGUCAUUCAAAAAAUCUGAAAAAAGGGGUAAAGAGAUGCAGAGAGAAAGAGGUGGAGAGAGAGAGAGAUGCAGAGAGAAAGAGGUGGAGGGAGAGAGAUGCAGAGAGAAAGAGGUGGAGAGAGAGAUGCAGAGAGAAAGAGGUAGAGAGAAAGAGGUAGGGCAGCAAUGGAUAAAGAAAGAACAGAGGUGAGCAGAGGAGAGAAAAGAUAGGGAGAGGGAAAGAUGAGAUAGAAAGAGGGAAAGGUGGGAAAGAAAGAGGGAAAGAUGAGAUAAAAAGAGGGAAAGAUGAGAUAAAAAGAGGGAAAGAUGAGAUAGAAAGAGAGAAAGAUGAGAUAGAAAGAGGGAAAGAUGAGAUAGAAAGAGGGAAAGAUGAGAUAGAAAGAGGGAAAGGUGGGAAAGAAAGAGGGAAAGAUGAGAUAAAAAGAGGGAAAGAUGAGAUAGAAAGAGAGAAAGAUGAGAUAGAAAGAGGAAAAGAUGAGAUAGAAAGAGGGAAAGGUGGGAAAGAUAGAAGUAUUAGUAUAAAAGUAUAUGAAUGAUAGAGAGAAAGCUAGGGAUGUAAGGUAAAUAUAUCAGUCUAAAAUCAAAUCGAAAGGAAUCAAAUCUAAUGGAAAUUAAAUGAAAAAUGUCGUCUGACACAAAGCAAACUUUCCACAGCCAAUCCAAACUCGUUUCCAAUGUUCUUUGACAUACCAGUCUUCAUUUAGAAUGUC